GUCCAGCUGACGAGUCCCAAAUAGGACGAAACACUCGUCCUAAAU
rfam:Schistosoma margrebowiei strain Zambia genome assembly, scaffold: SMRZ_scaffold0001086